GAUGAACGCUGGCGGCGUGCUUAACACAUGCAAGUCGAACGGGAAACCUUUUAUUGAAGCUUCGGCAGAUUUAGCUGGUUUCUAGUGGCGGACGGGUGAGUAACGCGUGGGUAACCUGCCUUAUACAGGGGGAUAACAGUCAGAAAUGACUGCUAAUACCGCAUAAGCGCACAGAGCUGCAUGGCUCGGUGCGAAAAACUCCGGUGGUAUAAGAUGGACCCGCGUUGGAUUAGCUAGUUGGUGAGGUAACGGCCCACCAAGGCGACGAUCCAUAGCCGGCCUGAGAGGGUGAACGGCCACAUUGGGACUGAGACACGGCCCAGACUCCUACGGGAGGCAGCAGUGGGGAAUAUUGCACAAUGGGGGAAACCCUGAUGCAGCGACGCCGCGUGAAGGAAGAAGUAUCUCGGUAUGUAAACUUCUAUCAGCAGGGAAGAAAAUGACGGUACCUGACUAAGAAGCCCCGGCUA
rnacentral:rRNA from 1 species